rnacentral:rRNA from 1 species
AUUGAACGCUGGCGGCAGGCCUAACACAUGCAAGUCGAACGAGUGGCGGACGGGUGAGUAAUUUCUGGGAACAUGACCGAUGGCGGGGGAUAACUACUGGAAACGGUGGCUAAUACCGCAUACCAUCAGAUGUGCUCAGAUGGGAUUAGCUUGUGGGUGGGGUAACGGCUCACCAAGGCAAAGAUCCCUAGCGGGUCUGAGAGGAUGACCACCCACACUGGAAGUGAGACACGGUCCAGACUCCUACGGGAGGCAGCAGUGGUGAAUAUUGCACAAUGGGCGCAACCCUGAGGCAGCCAUGCCGCGUGUAUGAAGAAGGCCUUCGGGUUGUAAAGUACUUUCAGCGGGGAGGCGUUACCCGCAGAAGAAGCACCGGCUAACUCCGUGCCAGCAGCCGCGGUAAUAC